GACGAACGCUGGCGGCGUGCUUAACACAUGCAAGUCGAGCGGUAAGGCCCUUUCGGGGGUACACGAGCGGCGAACGGGUGAGUAACACGUGGGUGACCUGCCCUCAGCUCUGGGAUAAGCCUGGGAAACCGGGUCUAAUACUGGAUAUGACUCCAUGACGCAUGUUGUGGGGUGGAAAGCCUUGUGCGGCUGAGGAUGGGCCCGCGGCCUAUCAGCUUGUUGGUGGGGGAUGGCCUACCAAGGCGACGACGGGUAGCCGGCCUGAGAGGGCGACCGGCCACACUGGGACUGAGACACGGCCCAGACUCCUACGGGAGGCAGCAGUGGGGAAUCUUGCGCAAUGGCGAAAGCCUGACGCAGCGACGCCGCGUGAGGGAUGACGGCCUGG
rnacentral:rRNA from 1 species